rnacentral:rRNA from 1 species
CAAUAGCGUAUAUUAACGUUGUUGCAGUUAAAAAGCUCGUAGUUGGAUUUCUGGAGGGAGCGUCGGCCCGUAUUUACGAGUGCGUGACGUCUCUGUCCAUCCUUGCGGGAAGGCACGGCAUUGAUUUGUUGUGUCGGAUCGCAUCAUUUACUGUGAAAAAAUUAGAGUGUUCAAAGCAGGCUUUCGCUUGAAUACAUUAGCAUGGAAUAAUAAGAUAGGACUUUGGUGCUAUUUUGUUGGUUGAGCCUAAAGUAAUGAUUAAUAGGGAUAGUUGGGGGGCACCUGUAUUGCGUUGUCAGAGGUGAAAUUCUUGGAUUUACGCAAGACAAACAGCUGCGAAAGCGUCUGCCAAGGAUGUUUUCAUUAA